rnacentral:lncRNA from 1 species
CAGAAUUUCCUUAAGCACCUCACAUUCACCCAACAGUCACAGGCUGCAACUUGUAUUUAAAACCUGGAAUCUUGGCAAAAACUAGUGGAAACAAAAUGGGGAGGGGAGAGAAGGUGUCAGAAGAGACAAUUUAAGUGCUGUUGUUUUCAAAAAUUUGAUCGGCGCCAUGUGAUACUAGACCGUUGGCAGGAUUGUUUAAGGGAAUUUGAGUUUUGUGCAACUUGGAAAGGGAAAAAAAUGGAAGAAUAGGUUAAACAAAU